AGCUCUCUCCCUGUACUGACUUGGUCCUCGUGGCAGCCAUGUGAGCCAGGCGCUCUCGUCGCGUCACUUUUCAGAGGAGGAAACGAAGGCACAGGAUGGGGCUGUCCAAGAAUGCUCACGAAGAGCUGGGCCUGGGUCCUGAAAACAACGCCCGGUGGAUAUUGGGGGAACAUUAGCAGCUGGGCAUCCCCUUGCUGGGAGAAGUGCCUGCAGCAGAAGGGGACCAGCACGCCCAGCCCGUCAGAGGCCGGCUCUGGUGACCAGAAG